rnacentral:rRNA from 1 species
CAGUAGCCGCGGUAAAACGGAGGGUGCAAGCGUUAAUCGGAAUUACUGGGCGUAAAGCGUGCGUAGGCGGUUCGUUAAGUCUGUUGUGAAAGCCCCGGGCUCAACCUGGGAAUGGCAAUGGAUACUGGCGAGCUAGAGUGUGUCAGAGGAUGGUGGAAUUCCCGGCGUAGCGGUGAAAUGCGUAGAGAUCGGGAGGAACAUCAGUGGCGAAGGCGGCCAUCUGGGACAACACUGACGCUGAGGCACGAAAGCGUGGGGAGCAAACAGGAUUAGAUACCCGAGUAGUCCCUGUCUCUUAUAC